rnacentral:rRNA from 1 species
GACAGAGGUGCCGAGCGUUAGGCGGAAUCACUGGGCUUAAAGCGUGUGUAGGCGGCCCGUUAAGUGCCUCGUGAAAUCCCCCCGGCUCAACCGGGGAACUGCCGGGCAUACUGGCGGGCUUGGGCCACUCAGGGGGCAGACGGAACAGGCGGUGGAGCGGGUGAAAAUGCGUAGAUAUCGCCUGGAACGCCGAAGGUGAAAAACAGUCUGCUGGGGGGUGUGCCGAGCUGAGACACGAAAGCCGGGGAGCGAACGGGAAUUAGAGUAACCCGAGUAAGUCCGAG